CCUUACAAGAUUAAUUUACUUUUUUUCUGAUUAGAACAGACAUUAUGGUUCAUGUAACAAAAGCUUUGUUGCGCUUGGCAGCUUUAUUGUUUAAUCAGUACAUUCCCUUCACUCAGGCUUGGUGGCCAACAAACAUACAUUGCUCAACCACACUUCAAUGUCGGUCUCAGUGGAGGAUACACCCAGGAUUUCAAGGAACCUGAAAAAAAUAAUAAAAGGUUUGGAAAAAGUCAACAGAAUGUCAUAAACUCAAGAUUAGCACCUUCAAGCCACCAGGAUGGCUAACCUAGUAUUACUCAGGAGCUGUAUCAUUUCAUAUUAAGAGAUAUCAAAUGGCCAUCAACGUGACUGUAGUAAUGAUGAUUAAGAAAAAGAAUCUAAAAGGCUAAGAGGAGCCAAAGUCAAACAAAAACUAUGGUCCAACAAAAACCAUGAUGAAGCUGUAGAUGCUACGUUGUUAGGGUACCCGUUUAGUACGUUUAAGCACUAAAACCUACCUUUAACACUAGGGCUGAUUUGCUAUGACAAAUAUGUCUUUGUUUUAUGUCAAAUGUGCAAAAUAGUAAAUAUUAAGUAGUAGUUAGUAUCAAUUGAGGCAUAUGUACAUAGUGUGCAGACAUUAAACAUUGGCUGGACCAAGGAAGUCCUGUUAAACCACAAAUAUCUGCUGACUGUUUGAAUUAGCAAUGCGUAACAGCUGGUCUUUAAUAACGAGCAUGAAAACGUGUAUCAAAAGUGUAUAUGCACAGAAUGGUAACAGACAAAAAAAAAAUACAUUCCUAUAACUGUAUAUAUUCAUCAUGCACCAUGAGAAGGAGACAUUGAUUGCAAAUUGUACAGUUAUUUUAAGACCUGUGAAAAACAUUUGUGUUUUAUUUGUCCGAAUAAAUUAUUAUUUAAAAUCGAGACAGAAAAUAAUGGAUUUAAAUCAACUCCUCAGGUAAAACCAUUUGGAAUCGGUUUGUUUCGAUGACUACAAUGACUUUUAUUUGGACUAAUCGCUUAAAACAAACUUCUGCACGUCUACUUAUAUACCUUUUCUCUGUUGUCACUAUAAAUUCCUCAGCUUUCUCGGUUUCACAUUUAAGGAAAUUUUGGAACGUAGAGAAGGUCUGUAUGAGACCCAAAAAGUCCGACAACAACAUUGGC